CCUACGGGAGGCUGCAGUGGGGAAUAUUGGACAAUGGGGGGAACCCUGAUCCAGCCAUGCCGCGUGUGUGAAGAAGGCCCUCGGGUUGUAAAGCACUUUCAGUGAGGAAGAACGCCUGGUGGUUAAUACCCAUCAGGAAAGACAUCACUCACAGAAGAAGCACCGGCUAACUCCGUGCCAGCAGCCGCGGUAAUACGGAGGGUGCGAGCGUUAAUCGGAAUUACUGGGCGUAAAGCGCGCGUAGGUGGCGUGAUAAGCCGGUUGUGAAAGCCCCGGGCUCAACCUGGGAACGGCAUCCGGAACUGUCAAGCUAGAGUGCAGGAGAGGAAGGUAGAAUUCCCGGUGGAGCGGUGAAAUGCGUAGAGAUCGGGAGGAAUACCAGUGGCGAAGGCGGCCUUCUGGACUGACACUGACACUGAGGUGCGAAAGCGUGGGUAGCACACAGGAUUAGAUACCCUAGUAGUC
rnacentral:rRNA from 1 species